rnacentral:rRNA from 1 species
AUUGAACGCUGGCGGCAGGCCUAACACAUGCACAUAGAACGAGUGGCGGACGGGUGUGUAAGGUCUGGGAACCUGCCCGCCGGUGGGGGAUAACUACGGUAAACGGUAGCUAAUACCGCAUACCAUCGAAUGUGCCCAGAGGGGAUAGGCUAGUAGGUGGGGUAACGGCUCACCUAGGCCACGAUCCCUAGCUGGUCUGAGAGGUUGACCAGCCACAUUGGAACGGAGACACGGCCCAGACUCCUACGGGAGGCAGCAGUGGGGAAUAUUGCACAAUGGGCGAAAGCCUGAUGCAGCCAUGCCGCUUGUAUGAAGAAGGCCUUCGGGUUGUAAAGUACUUUCAGCGAGGAGGCGUUACUCGCAGAAGAAGCACCGGCUAACUCCGUGCCAGCAGCCGCGGUAAUUC